rnacentral:rRNA from 1 species
AAUGGAGCGUCAUAGAGGGUGAGAAUCCCGUCUUUGACACGGACUACCAGGGCUUUGUGAUAUGCUCUCAAAGAGUCGAGUUGUUUGGGAAUGCAGCUCAAAAUGGGUGGUAAAUUCCAUCUAAAGCUAAAUAUUGGCGAGAGACCGAUAGCGAACAAGUACCGUGAGGGAAAGAUGAAAAGAACUUUGGAAAGAGAGUUAAAUAGUACGUGAAAUUGUUGAAAGGGAAACGCUUGAAGUCAGUCGCGUUGGCCAGGGAUCAACCUUGCUUUUGCUGGGUGUACUUUCUGGUUAAUGGGUCAGCAUCAAUUUUGACCAUUGGAUAAAGGUCAGGGGAAUGUGGCAUCUCCGGAUGUGUUAUAGCCCUUGAUUGCAUACAAUGUUUGGGAUUGAGGAACUCAGCACGCCGAAAGGCCGGGUAUUUAUACUACGUACGUGCUUA